rnacentral:rRNA from 1 species
UACGUAGGCAGCAAGCGUUGUUCGGAAUUACUGGGCGUAAAGCGUGCGCAGGCGGUUCGCUAAGACAGAUGUGAAAUCCCCGGGCUUAACCUGGGAACUGCAUUUGUGACUGGCGGGCUAGAGUAUGGCAGAGGGGGGUAGAAUUCCACGUGUAGCAGUGAAAUGCGUAGAGAUGUGGAGGAAUACCGAUGGCGAAGGCAGCCCCCUGGGCCAAUACUGACGCUCAUGCACGAAAGCGUGGGGAGCAAACAGG